rnacentral:rRNA from 1 species
AUUGAACGCUGGCGGCAGGCCUAAAACAUGCAAGUCGAGCGGAGCGGCGGACGGGUGAGUAAUGCCUAGGAAUCUGCCUGGUAGUGGGGGAUAACGUCCGGAAACCGGCGCUCAUACCGCAUACUAUCAGAUGAGCCUAGGUCGGGUUGGCUAGUUGGUGGGGGAAAGGCCUACCAAGGCGACGAUCCGUAACUGGUCUGAGAGGAUGAUCAGUCACACUGGAACUGAGACCCGGGCCAGACUCCUACGGGAGGCAGCAGUGGGGAAUAUUGGACAGUGGGCGGAAGCCUGUGCCAGCCAUGCCGCGUGUGUGAAGAAGGUCUUCGGAUUGUAAAGCACUUUAAGUUGGGAGGCGUUACCGACAGAAUAAGCACCGGCUAACUUCGUGCCAGCAGCCGCGGUAAUUC